GAUGAACGCUGGCGGCGUGCCUAAUACAUGCAAGUCGAGCGAACGGACGAGAAGCUUGCUUCUCUGAUGUUAGCGGCGGACGGGUGAGUAAAACGUGGAUAACCCACCUAUAAGACUGGGAUAAAUUCGGGAAACCGGAGCUCAAACAGGAUAAUAUUUUGAACUGUAUGAUUCAAAAGUGAAAGACGGUCUUGCUGUCACUUAUAGAUGGAUCCGCGUUGCAUUAGCUAGUUGGUAAGGUAACGGCUUACCAUGGCAACGAAGCAUAGCCGACCUGAGCGGGUGAUGGGCCACACUGGAACUGAAACACGGUCCGGACUCCUACGGGAGGGAGGAGAAGGGUGUCGUCCGCUAUGGGAGGAAGCCUGGCGGGACGACGCCGCGUGGGUUGUGAGGGGCUUCGGAUCGUGAAACUCUGUUAUUAGGGAAGAGCAUAAGUGUAGGUAACUGUGCACAUCUUGACGGUACCUGGUCAGAAAGCCACGGCUAACUACGUG
rnacentral:rRNA from 1 species